UAAUACGGAGGGUGCAAGCGUUAUCCGGAUUCACUGGGUUUAAAGGGUGCGUAGGCGGAUUAGAAAGUCCGUUGUGAAAUCUCUGAGCUUAACUCGGAAAUUGCGGUGGAUACUAUUAGUCUUGAAUACUGUGGAGGUUAGCGGAAUAUGUCAUGUAGCGGUGAAAUGCAUAGAUAUGACAUAGAACACCAAUUGCGAAGGCAGCUGGCUACACAGAUAUUGACGCUGAGGCACGAAAGCGUGGGGAUCAAACAGGAUUAGAUACCCUGGUAGUCCACGCCCUAAACGAUGAUUACUCGACAUUUGCGAUACACAGCAAGUGUCUGAGCGAAAGCAUUAAGUAAUCCACCUGGGAAGUACGACCGCAAGGUUG
rnacentral:rRNA from 1 species